rnacentral:rRNA from 1 species
CACGUAGGGCGCAAGCGUUGUCCGGAAUUAUUGGGCGUAAAGCGCGCGCAGGCGGUUCUUUAAGUCUGAUGUGAAAGCCCACGGCUCAACCGUGGAGGGUCAUUGGAAACUGGAGAACUUGAGUACAGAAGAGGAAAGCGGAAUUCCACGUGUAGCGGUGAAAUGCGUAGAGAUGUGGAGGAACACCAGUGGCGAAGGCGGCGUUCUGGUCUGUAACUGACGCUGAGGCGCGAAAGCGUGGGGAGCAAACAGG